GACGAACGCUGGCGGCGUGCUUAACACAUGCAAGUCGAACGGAAAGGCCCUGCUUUUGUGGGGUGCUCGAGUGGCGAACGGGUGAGUAACACGUGAGUAACCUGCCCGUGACUUUGGGAUAACUUCAGGAAACUGGGGCUAAUACCGGAUAGGAGCUCCUGCUGCAUGGUGGGGGUUGGAAAGUUUCGGCGGUUGGGGAUGGACUCGCGGCUUAUCAGCUUGUUGGUGGGGUAGUGGCUUACCAAGGCUUUGACGGGUAGCCGGCCUGAGAGGGUGACCGGCCACAUUGGGACUGAGAUACGGCCCAGACUCCUACGGGAGGCAGCAGUGGGGAAUAUUACACAAUGGGCGGAAGCCUGAUGCAGCAACGCCGCGUGCGGGAUGACGGCCUUCGGGUUGUAAACCGCUUUCGCCUGUGACGAAGCGUGAGUGACGGUAAUGGGUAAAGAAGCACCGGCUAACUACGUG
rnacentral:rRNA from 1 species